rnacentral:rRNA from 1 species
UACGUAGGGUGCAGGCGUUAAUCGGAAUUAUUGGGCGUAAAGCGCGUGUAGGCAGCUUUGCAAGUCGGGUGUGAAAGCCCUCGGCUCAACCGAGGAAGUGCGCCCGAAACUGCAGAGCUUGAGUACCGGAGAGGAUGGCGGAAUUCCCCAAGUAGAGGUGAAAUUCGUAGAUAUGGGGAGGAACACCGGUGGCGAAGGCGGCCAUCUGGACGGAUACUGACGCUGAGACGCGAAAGCGUGGGGAGCAAACAGG